GAGAAACACAAGCCUUGUAAGUCACACAGCACAAAGCGCCUCUUUCGAGCACAUUUAUGAGGAAAUCUGGAGGAUUUUUCUAUGUAAUCUAGCAUCAGUAAAGUAAAGAAGAAAAGCAUCGGCCAUGUUGCGAAGUCACCCAUCGGCCAGCCGGGCCGUUAUAAUCCCCUAGAGGAGGAGGAAUAAAUAAUAAUAAUAAAAACACAGGGAUGAUGGAGAAGUUGCAGUGUGGACCAUUUGGAGGAACACCGCGAUAAAUAAACAAACAAGAAGGAUGAGGAGGAAGCGAGGGAGGCAGGCGGAGAGAAGCGGUGCGUCUGUGUCUCCUCCGGGUUGCGGGAGAGAUGGUGCCUAUCUCCAGCGGUUAUCGAGGAAGAGGCAGGGUUUCCCUGACCACAACUGACCCAGAGCUGGGAGCCUUUUGUCUAGGAGCGACCCCUGACCUCUCAGGGCCUGAGACUUGCCUGGGACUUACUCUCAAGACCCUUGAGGCAGUUUGAAAAAGAGCUGAGGAGGGGAUUCCAACGAAAAGACUCAGAAAGCAGUGUUCAGAUCCUAAUAUUAACACUGUCAAAGCCUUUAUUUAGCUUGAAGAGAUUAUGAUAAAGCAUCUCUUCGGCCACAGAGUCCUUGUCAAACAGUCUGUUUUAUCUUUUUUUUUUGUGAUGAAGACAAGUUUAAUUGAAAGAAUAGUAAAAGGCAACAUAAAGAAAAUUACAAAAAUAAAACAAUUUAUUUUUUUUAUUAAAUCUUUAUUAACCAGGCGGGAUGAUUUAGAACAAUUAUGCACCCUGGCAAAUGGCAGGAGAGGGGGGGAAAGGGGGGUAUAAUAAAGUAAAUUAAAUGCUAGCAAGCUGUUUUACAGUCUGAUUAUUUGCUGGUUUGGGAAUGUUGUUUUUAUGUCACAAUCCUGAUGUGUUUUUGGGUUUAGACUUUCUUUGUGUAUUAAUCUCAUCAUUUCCUUGUUAUGUUCCUUAUGUUUUGUCUCCAUGUGUUGCUUAUGGUUAGGUGUUUUUUGUUUAUUAGUUUAUUCUUUU